GUGCUUGCUUUGGCAUCACAUAAACUAAAAUUAGUAUACAGAGAAGAUUAGCAUGGUCCCUGUGUAAAUCCUGACUUUUGUCUUUCAUGUAAAGUCUGAAAGCAAAAUUUU